rnacentral:sRNA from 1 species
AAAAAGGGCAGGACCUAAGAAAGAUUAAGCUGCAGGCUCCCUGCCCAUAAAACAGGGUGUGAAAGGCAUCUCAGCAGCUGCCCCACCAUGGCUACCUGGGCCCUCCUGCUCCUUGCAGCCACGCUCCUGGGCAACCCAGCCCCUGCCUCCGCAUCUGUGUGGUGAAGGCCAUUGGCCCUCAUCGGUGGGUCUGCGUUUCCUCGGGCCUACACUGUCUAGGAUUGUGCAGGGCUGGUGAGAGAAUGAGACCUCUUCCGUGUUCAAGGCAGACUUCCUGCCCCCUGCACCCUGCUCUCUCCCAGGCCUUGGGGUCAGUGUGAGCCCCAAGGGCAAGGACACUUCUGGAAGGGAGAGUGGAUUUGGCUGGGCCAUCUGGAUGGAAGGUAAAAAAAGAAAGUCUCUUGAAAGGAGAUUGAGGGAAGUUUCUAGACAAACCGACCCCCAAAUCUGUGUUGCUGGGGGAACAGAGGAGAAGAGAGAGUCUCGCCCCCCUGGCUUUCUAGAAAGAACGUGAGAACAUGUGUUUGUGCUGAGAGUGGGUCAGAGCAGCUCCAGGGCAAAGCAUGUGGACAGGUAUCCUGGCCCCCUGCAAGGCCCAGCUCCUGUCCUAGGCCCUGGCCACCUCCUGGACUCCCACCAGCCAGGAGAACGGGCUUUCCCCUCUCCUUCCGCCUGCAGAGGGGAAGCUGAAGUCUGGUCUUCCUCAGGUCUGGUCUUCUCUCGUCUGAGCCCUGAGUACUAUGACCUGGCAACAGCCCACCUGUGUGACGAGGAGAAAUCCUGCCCGUGCCUGGCCCAGGAGGGCCCCCAGGGUGACCUGUUGACCAAAACACAGGAGCUGAGCUAUGACUGCAGAACCUGUCUGAGCAUAGUCCAAACACUGAAGGCUAUGGUGAAUCAGCCCACCCAGGUGAGGCCAAGGGGCUGCAGAGCCUCCUGUCUGCUGCUCAAUGGAGGGGC